rnacentral:rRNA from 1 species
GAUGAACGCUGGCGGCGUGCUUAACACAUGCAAGUCGAACGGAAAGGCCAGUGCUUGCACUGGUACUCGAGUGGCGAACGGGUGAGUAACACGUGGGUGAUCUGCCCUGCACUUCGGGAUAAGCCUGGGAAACUGGGUCUAAUACCGGAUAGGACAAUGGUUUGGAUGCCGUUGUGGAAAGGUUUUUCGGUGUGGGAUGAGCUCGCGGCCUAUCAGCUUGUUGGUGGGGUAAUGGCCUACCAAGGCGUCGACGGGUAGCCGGCCUGAGAGGGUGUACGGCCACAUUGGGACUGAGAUACGGCCCAGACUCCUACGGGAGGCAGCAGUGGGGAAUAUUGCACAAUGGGCGCAAGCCUGAUGCAGCGACGCCGCGUGGGGGAUGACGGCCUUCGGGUUGUAAACUCCUUUCGCUAGGGACGAAGCGUAUUUGUGACGGUACCUGGAGAAGAAGCACCGGCUAACUACGUG